AACAAGCCCUCCAGAAACUGGCUGAGCUGUAUUUGGGAAAGGAAGAGGAAGCUGUUUUAAGACAAAGGACUAUAAUAGCAAGUCAAAGUUGGGGUUUUUUUCCAUUGCUGCCACUUUCUGAUGAGUGUGUGAUGUUUUCUCUCUCUAUGGCCUGAGAAUUAAGCCUAACACUACACUUUGCUUGGAGGAUGUAAAAUUUUGCCACGUGGUGUGAAGCACUAAGUUAAAGCCAUAGCUUGGUUUUGAGCUAUGCAUAGAAGAGAUACUUUCCUUCAUAGAAUUUUCUGUGUUGUAAGGAAGAAAUGCUCUUUGGACUGGCUUUUUUUUUUUUUUUUUCUUGUCUUGUCUUGUCUUGUAUUUAUUACUGUCUGUUUGCACUAAAACCUGAUUUCAGUCAGCGCUUAUUGUAGCUGUGUCUGAUAACUGGGUAGAUAAGAGAUGUUUGGUUUAAAAGUGGUGUUACUGUGAUACAAAAUAUCCAUAAUGAGAAAUAUUUCCUCUGUGAUCUGCAGUGUCUUACUCUGGGGACUGUACCCAUAAAAGUAACAUUCCAAUAGUCUUGUUUUGGUUUCUUUUUAUUGCCCAGAGUCCUACUGAACUUUUUUCCACAUUAAAAUGUCUAUAGUCUUUAAAUCUUCAUCUGUAAUUGGUAACUGUAAAUAAAGUGUAAGAGCAACACUGUGCUGCUAAGUAUUUAUUCAGCAAUGCAGCAUUGUGAAUGGACUUUUAUCUUGAGGUGAUUUUUCCUGUUGUUUUUCUCAGCCUGAAGGUAAGUUAAUUGAUGUCUGGGUUUUGGUUGCAUUUUCUAUAGGAUUUUCCCCAUCUAAGUGAUGUGUGAAGUGAUGUCUAUUUCUGGAGAUACAAAAAGAGGUCUGUGAAGUCAUCUCCCAGCCUUAGCUGUUUACCUGGCAAUAGUCUGUCAUGUAGUAGUUAAAUACUAGGAGCAAAUCACAUAAUGGUUGUAGUUUUAAGGCAGUUGCCUAAAAUGUUAUUUCCAAACCAAUUACUGGCUAACUUUCGUGAUGGUGCUGUUAAUCCUUGCACCUCAUAAGGUGUUUUUGCUCAGUUUUAAAAUAGUUGAGAAGCAGAUUUGCAUGUGUGUGUGCUGUUUUCUGCUUCUGUGAGGUUAUUUUUUAAACUGCUUUAUCAGCUUCCUAUAUCCUAGCUUUCCUUAUGACUCCUAGCUCCUCUGCCCUCCCAGUCUAGGUUGGGGAGAGGCUUCCUUGCUGCAGUGACUGAGCAGUCUUUACAUGCCCCUUUGAUGCCUCUGGUGUCAGGUUCUGGCUUUAAAUGUCUGUCUCUUAAUUAGACUGAUCCUAGAGAAUGCUGUUGGAGCUGGAGUAAAUGUCUGGUUCUGCAGGAGCUCUGUGUGUAUGGCUGGAUGCCUCUUAUCCCUUGUGCUCUGUCAGCAAAGCCCUUUGCUUGUUUCCCCCUAGCUUCUGAUGAAAUCAACCUUAUUUAAACCACCUAUUUAAAUUGCUUCCAUUAAGGUGGUUGAUUUUGGCUUAGGUGGAUUAGGGAUUCUUCAGGAGAGUGAUGGGAGCUCUGGCAGAAGUGCUGUUAGAUACAGCUGCCCCAAAUUUCUUCUGUUGGCCGAGUG
rnacentral:lncRNA from 1 species